rnacentral:rRNA from 1 species
GACGAACGCUGGCGGCGUGCUUAACACAUGCAAGUCGAACGAAGAGCGACGGAAGCUUGCUUCUAUCAAUCUUAGUGGCGAACGGGUGAGUAACGCGUAAUCAACCUGCCCUUCAGAGGGGGACAACAGUUGGAAACGACUGCUAAUACCGCAUACGAUCUAACCUCGGCAUCGAGGAUAGAUGAAAGGUGGCCUCUACAUGUAAGCUAUCACUGAAGGAGGGGAUUGCGUCUGAUUAGCUAGUUGGAGGGGUAACGGCCCACCAAGGCGAUGAUCAGUAGCCGGUCUGAGAGGAUGAACGGCCACAUUGGGACUGAGACACGGCCCAGACUCCUACGGGAGGCAGCAGUGGGGAAUCUUCCGCAAUGGACGAAAGUCUGACGGAGCAACGCCGCGUGAGUGAUGACGGCCUUCGGGUUGCAAAGCUCUGUUAAUCGGGACGAAAGGCCUUCUUGCGAAUAGUGAGAAGGAUUGACGGUACCGGAAUAGAAAGCCACGGCUAACUACGUG